rnacentral:rRNA from 1 species
CCUACGGGAGGCUGCAGUAGGGAAUAUUGCUCAAUGGGGGAAACCCUGAAGCAGCAACGCCGCGUGGAGGAUGAAGGUUUUCGGAGUGUAAACGCCUUUUGUUAGAGAAGAGAAGGACGGUAUCUAACGAAUAAGCACCGGCUAACUCCGUGCCAGCAGCCGCGGUAAUACGGAGGGUGCAAGCGUUACUCGGAAUCACUGGGCGUAAAGAGCGCGUAGGCGGGAUCGCAAGUCAGAUGUGAAAUCCUAUGGCUUAACCCUAGAACUGCAUUUGAAACUUUUAUUCUAGAGUAUGGGAGAGGUAGGUGGAAUUCUUGGUGUAGUGGUCAACUCC